UUUUGUCAACUUUCAGGACUGUGUUUAGCCAGUGCAUCACAUUGCGCGGCACAGUUAUUUGCCAUGACUGGGUCAGCACUGCCCCGCACCCUCCUUCAGUCCCGGCGUCAGCCUGGGCAACGUCGAUCGCACACCGCUGUGCGGGUGUUGUUGGGCCGGGUCGCUUGGAGGGGAGGAGCUGCCGCCAUGUUGGCGCGAAGCAGGGGGUGGCCGCGGGGAGGGCUGGGCCGGGACGCGGCGGCUGUAGCCGUUUCUGACUGCCGUGCGGGGAAGGACUGUCAUUAAUUUAAACUGAAACGUUUUGCUUUAGUUAUGUGUUUGUCCUGACAAAUGCUAAUUCUUGUUCUCAGUUCAGGCAGCUCUGUUUGUUAGCCGGUUAGUUGUUGAAAGGAAGUGAAAUACUUGUGAGCAUUAUGAUUCUGUAGAGCUACCUUUUCUACAGUCAAAAUGGGCUCUUUCCUAUGUUCUUUAUGACGUGUGUGUGAAAUAUCCCCCCACGUAGCAGAGGGUGCUGAGGCAGGGCAAGGGGACGGCCUCAGUGGUGUGUGCAGUGUGGUGGUUGUUCCUCAGGCUGGCAGUGAGGGCAGCGUGUCCUGCUGUGGGGAAUGCUAUGCAAAAUGUGUGCCAUUGGAGGGGAAGGAGAAACAGAAUAUUCC
rnacentral:lncRNA from 1 species